CACACGUAGAGACCCGUGUCAAUGUAGGAAGCUCCUUUACCCAUUCUGCCCUACAAAUAAUCCUUGUAGAAAAUGAGCUGCUUCCCGUCCUUUAGAAGAUGCAGGCAGGUAGCUGAUACUCCUGUAGGAGUGUUACUAGGUGUUCUAUGUCAGGACUGUUUGUGCUACUAUCUCCCUUCCUAAGCUGGCUCCCCCUUUAUGCACAAGCAGUCCUUUCACAUAAUUUUUUUCUGUGGCAGAAUUUUCCACAUCUUCUCCAAAUAUGUGUAGGCUUGGGGUCUGAGCACAGCAGACUGCCUCAUUGUGUAGCCAACUGCUGCAAUUCCUGUGUAAUUAGUGGGGCUGUCCACCAACCACUCUGUUCAGGUGAAGAAGGCUGAAGUGGCUGCUCUGCCAGCAUAAAAUUCUCAUCACCUACAGCAUCCUCCAUGUCAGUAAUGUAGGAUAUGAAUUUAUGGCCUAAAUCAACAGUCUUCCACCUUCCUUCUCCUCAAGCUACAGCUGACAACAAGACAUUACAGGCACAGAUGCUACGUGAACACCCAAAGAGAGGCGCUGGACAGGAUUGCAUUGCCCAACACAUCAUCCAGGUGCAGAGGAAGCCCCAGUUAAACCAGGCAAAGAGUGCAGACCCAGAGAAGGAUGCAGUUGGAGACACGACAGGGACAUGCAGGAGUGCUGGGAUGGCACUGCCAGUCUGAGCAGCUGCAGGAGCUGCAGAGUGGGACGAAAGAGCUCCAUUUUUAUUUUAACCUUACAAAAGAAAGCUUAUGUUCAGGGGAUAAUCAAUGAACUUUAUAUCUUGCCCCAUUCCCACAGGUGUUCAAACCCAGUCUGAAUAGGCUUUGAGCAACUCAGUCUCCUGAAAGUUGUUUCUUACCAUGGCAGCGGAGCUGCAACAGAAUAAUUUUUAGGAUCCCUUCUAAUCCCAGAAAUUCCAUGAAUUUAUGUUUCUAAAUCCUUUUAAAAAUGAGGCUUGAUUCUUAGUCUGAUUUUGAAAUCAGAAGGCAGGAAGCAAACCCCUGCACAAAUUUAGUUCCAUCAAACUACCAUGUGCUUUAGGACCAACAGGGAAAUGUUUAUCUUAUAUAAACUUAUUCAAGCAAAACACAACUAUCUGAUUUAGCCUGACUAUUCAGUCAGAUGAAUGCCAUUCAUCACAGGUCAGCAAUAAGGAAGAGUAUCUUAGAUCGUGGGUCUUUCAUUCUUCUUUAUAAGUAGAAAAGGUGCAGCUAGGUUAAUUUCGGGUGAUUGAAAAGCCUU
rnacentral:lncRNA from 1 species